AUUGAACGCUGGCGGCAGGCCUAACACAUGCAAGUCGAGCGGAGAGGCGGACGGGGGAGUAAUGCCUAGGAAUGUGCCUGGGAGUGGGGGAUAAGGUACGGAAACGGGAGCUAAUACCGCAUACUAUCAGAUGAGCCUAGGUCGGGUUGGCUAGUUGGUGGGGUAGAGGCCUACCAAGGCGACGAUCCCUAACUGGUCUGAGAGGAUGAUCAGUCACACUGGAACUGAGACACGGUCCAGACUCCUACGGGAGGCAGCAGUGGGGAAUAUUGGACAAUGGGCGAAAGCCUGAUCCAGCCAUGCCGCGUGUGUGAAGAAGGUCUUCGGAUUGUAAAGCACUUUCAGUUGGGAGGCGUUACCAACAGAAUAAGCACCGGCUAACUUCGUGCCAGCAGCCGCGGUAAUUC
rnacentral:rRNA from 1 species